UACGUAGGGUGCAAGCGUUGUCCGGAAUUAUUGGGCGUAAAGAGCUCGUAGGCGGUCUGUCGCGUCGGAUGUGAAAACCCAGGGCUCAACCCUGGGCCUGCAUUCGAUACGGGCAGACUAGAGUUCGGUAGGGGAGACUGGAAUUCCUGGUGUAGCGGUGAAAUGCGCAGAUAUCGGGAGGAACACCGGUGGCGAAGGCGGGUCUCUGGGCCGAAACUGACGCUGAGGAGCGAAAGCGUGGGGAGCAAACAGG
rnacentral:rRNA from 1 species